rnacentral:lncRNA from 1 species
AGAAAAAAGGACAGAGGUCCUGCUUUAUUGCUUAUCAUAAUAUAUACAUGGCUGAGAGAAAUAUGUACAUUAUGAGAGCCGGUGGCUCAAGUGUAGUAAGGCCGAAGCUGAGCUAUGUUCCACGGCCGACGGGUCUCUUCCUCCGACUUACGUGAAUCUUUGUGCUCCCGAAUGUCAAUGAGGUAAUAUGACCCGUCAUGCAAGUUCUUACUGACCACAAAGGGCCCUUCCCAAGGCGGGGAUAGCUUGUGUGCAUCUGUUGAUCCUGGAUGAGCCGGAGCACGAGAUCGCCUUCCUGGAAGACCCGGAUUUAACCCGGCGGCUAUGAUAACGGCGCAGGUCUUGUUGGUAAAUCGCUGAACGGGCUGCUGCCACAUCACGCUGUUCGUCCAGCAAGUCAAGAGCAUCUUGGCGCGCCUGUUCAUUAUCCGCCUCAACGUAAGCCGCCACUCGAGGUGAGUCAUGACGGAUGUCACUGGGGAGGACUGCUUCUGCCCCAUAAACCAUGAGGAAAGGCGUAAAACCCAUAGACCUGUUAGGGGUAGUGUUGAUGCUCCAUAACACGGAGGGCAACUCCUCCACCCAACAACCCGGCGUCCGUUGCAAAGGGACCAAAAGCCGGGGCUUGAUGCCCUUCAGAAUCUCCUGAUUAGCUCUCUCAGCUUGACCAUUGGAUUGAGGAUGAGCCACUGAGGAAACAUCAAGUCGGAUAUGCUCUCGUUGACAAAACUCUUCCAUGGCGCCUUUGGAGAGAUUGGUGCCAUUGUCAGUGAUAAUGCUGUGCAGAAAACCAAAGCGAAAGAUCACCUUUUUCAUAAACUGAACCGUCGUGGCUGCAUCACACUUGCCAACUGGCUCUGCUUCAACCCACUUGGUAAACUUGUCAACUGCCACCAAAAGGUGGGUCUUCUUAUCCUUGGACCUUUUGAAAGGCCCAACCAUAUCAAGCCCCCAGACCGCAAAGGGCCAAGUAAUUGGGAUCAUCCUUAGCUCUUGAGCCGGUACAUUAGCCCGCCGCGAGAACCUUUGGCAACCAUCACACUUACUGACCAAGUCCUCUGCAUCAGCAUGAGCCGUCAACCAAUAAAAACCAUGACGAAAAGCCUUGGCCACAAGAGACUUUGAGCCGGCGUGAUGGCCACAAUCCCCUUCAUGGAUCUCACGCAAGAUCUCUUGACCUUCCUCAGGGGAAACACAACGCUGAAACGCUCCCGUAACACUGCGGUGAUGCAACUCACCAUUGAUAACAAUCAUUGACUUAGCCCGCCGGGUUAUUUGCCUGGCCAAAGUUUCAUCCUCAGGCAACUCGCCCCGGGUCAUGUAAGCCAGAUAGGGCAUUGUCCAGUCUGGUAUGAUAUGGAGAGCCGCCACCAGUCGUGCCUCUGGGUCAGGGACAGCCAAGUCUUCCUCUGUAGGCAACUUAACAGAAGGGUUAUACAGGACGUCCAGGAAAGUAUUAGGCGGCACCGGUUUUCGCUGAGAGCCCAGCCGGCUUAAAGCGUCAGCCGCCUCGUUCUUCCUGCGAUCGAUGUGUUCCACUUGGUAACCCUGAAAGUGCCCAACAAUGGCAUCAACUUCGCGGCGAUAAGCCGCCAUGAGAGGGUCCUUGGAAUCCCACUUUCCUGAUACUUGUUGAGCCACCAAGUCUGAGUCGCCGAAGCACCUUACCCGGCUUAAGCUCAUCUCUUUAGCCAUCCGAAGACCAUGGAGCAAGGCCUCGUACUCAGCCGCGUUGUUAGUGCAAGGAAACAGCAACUGUAGCACAUAAUGGAACUUGUCACCUUUAGGGGAAGCCAACACGACUCCAGCCCCCGAGCCCUCCAACUGCCUGGACCCAUCAAAGUGAAUAGUCCAAUAUGUGUUAUCCAGCUUCUGCUCGGGCACUUGUGACUCUGUCCAGUCAUUGAUGAAAUCCAGCAAGGCCUGAGAUUUAACAGCAGUGCGUGGCACGUACUUGAGACCAUGAGGUCCAAGCUCUAUAGCCCACUUAGCCACUCUCCCUGUGGCCUCUCUGUUUUGAAUGAUAUCACCAAGAGGGGCAGAACUGACCACAGUGAUGGGAUGACCCUGAAAAUAAUGCUUAAGUUUCCGGCUCGCUAUGAACACACCAUAAACAAGCUUCUGCCAAUGCGGAUACCGCUGCUUGGACUCAAUGAGCACUUCGCUGACAUAAUAAACCGGCCGCUGAACCGGAUGCUCCUUACCCUCCUCCUUGCGCUCCACCACCAUAGCCACACUGACGGCUCGUGUGUUCGCCGCCACAUAUAAUAAUAAGGGCUCCUUAUCAACCGGAGUAGCAAGGACUGGAGGCUCUGCCAGCUGCUUCUUCAAAUCCUCAAAGGCAGUAUUAGCUGCAUCAUUCCAGACAAAGUUAUCAGUUUUGUUCAUCAACUGAUAUAAUGGCAUGGCCUUCUCACCCAAACGGCUUAUAAACCGGCUUAAAGUAGCGAUGCGACCUGCCAAGCGCUGAACGUCAUUUAUACACGCCGGCUUAGCCAGGGAGGUGAUGGCCUUGAUCUUCUCCCGGUUAGCUUCAAUGCCUCUGUCAGAAACCAAAAAACCCAAGAGUUUGCCUGCAGGAACACCAAAGACACACUUGGCCGGGUUAAGCAUCAUCUUGUAGACCCGGAGAUUAUCAAAGGUUUCUCUCAAAUCAUCUAUCAGGGUUUCCUCCUUUAUGGAUUUAACCACAAUGUCGUCCACAUAAGCAUGAACAUUGCGCCCAAUCUGUUUAUGAAGACAGUUCUGCACGCAACGCUGAUAAGUCGCCUGUGCACACUUGAGUCCAAAGGGCAUGGAGACAUAGCAGAAGGCUCCAAAGGGAGUGAUGAAUGCUGUCUUCUCCUGGUCCUUAACUGCCAUUUUAAUCUGAUGAUAUCCGGAAUAAGCGUCCAAGAAACUUAAGCGCGCACAACCGGCCGUAGCAUCAAUAAUUUGAUCAAUACGGGGAAGGGCAAAAGGAUCAGCCGGACACGCCUUAUUUAAGUCCGUGUAAUCCACACACAUCCGCCAAGUGCCGUUCUUCUUGAGUACGAGCACCGGGUUAGCUAACCAUUCUGGGUGGAAGACUUCAACAAUAAACCCGGCCGCCAAAAGCCGGGCCACCUCUUCGCCAAUAGCUUUCCGCCUCUCUUCAUUAAACCGCCGAAGGAACUGCCUGACCGGCUUAAAUUUUGGAUCAAUAUUGAGAGUGUGCUCAGCGAGUUCUCUAGGUACACCUGGCAUGUCAGAAGGUUUCCAUGCGAAGAUGUCCCUAUUCUCACGGAUGAACUCGAUGAGCGCGCCUUCCUAUUUUGGAUCCAGAUUGGCACUGAUGCUAAAUUGCUGAGAUGAGUCUCCUGGAACGAAAUCAACAAGUUUAGUCUCAUCAGCCGACUUAAAUUUCAUUGCCGGCUCAUGCUCCGUAGUCGGCUUUUUCAGAGAGGUCAUAUCAGUUGGGUCAACAUUGUCCUUGUAAAACUUCAACUCCUCUGUUGCACAAACAGAUUCGGCAUAAGCUGCAUCGCCUUCCUCACAUUCCAAGGCCACCUUCCGGCUGCCGUGAACCGUAAUGGGCCCAUUAUGACCCGACAUCUUGAGCUGUAAGUAAACAUAACACGGCCGUGCCAUGAACUUGGCGUAAGUCGGCCGCCCAAAUAUAGCAUGGUACGGACUUCUUAUCUUGACCACCUCAAAGGUCAAUUUUUCCACCCUGUAGUUGUUUUCAUCUCCGAAGGCCACUUCCAACUCGAUCUUGCUGACUGGAUAAGCCGACUUACCAGGUACCACACCAUGGAAGAUAGUGUUUGAUUGGCUGAGGUUCUUAUCAACCAACCCCAUACGGCGAAAAGUCUCAUAAUAGAGGAUGUUGAUGCUGCUGCCUCCAUCCAUGAGCACCUUAGUGAACUUAUAUCCUCCCACCUGAGGAGCCACCACUAAGGCCAAGUGACCCGGAUUGUCCACCUGGGGAGGGUGAUCCUCUCUACUCCAUACUAUAGGCUGCUCAGACCACCGCAAGUAGCGUGGAACCGCCGGCUCAACAGCAUUCACGGCCCUCUUAUGAAGCUUCUGAUCUCGCUUACACAGACUGGUGGUAAAUACAUGGUACUGUCCACCGCUAAGCUGCUUUGGAUUGGUCUGAUAACCCCCCUGCUGCUGUUGAUGACCCUGGCCAGACUGCUGAUUAAAGCCUCCUUGACCGUUCUGAGGAUUAGAAUUUGAGCCGCCGCCCGGGCCAUGAAAACCGCCGGCGCCUGAGCCGCCGCCCGGGCCAUUGUAAUUCUUAAAGGCCUUCAUGAUUGCACAAUCCUUCCAUAGAUGAGUCGCUGGCUUCUCUCUAGAGCCAUGCCUUGGACAAGGCUCAUUCAACAGCUGCUCCAGCGUCGGGCCUGACCCGCCGCCUCGGGGAGGGGGCCUCCCCUUGCGUCGCUGGUUAUUACCUUGUGAGCUGGCGUUGGCUACAAACUCUAGGCUGCCAUCGGCCUUGCGCUUGCCUCCUCCUUGGUUCCCCGGGUUAUGCUGAGGACCCUUGCCAUUGCCGUUCUUCUUUCCCUUCCCUGUCCUUUCAUCAUCUGAAGCGGGGUCCUUGGUACCAUCAGAAUCGGCGUACUUGACAAGAGCCGCCAUCAGCGUACCCAUAUCAUUGCAGUCGCGCUUAAGCCGCCCGAGUUUCAUCUUUAGGGGCACAAAAGGACAAUUCUGCUCCAACAUUAAGACGGCUGAGCCGGCAUCCAUCUUAUCUGACGAAUGUAUGAUCUCCUUAACCCGGCGAACCCAAUGUGUCGUAGACUCACCCUCCUGCUGCUUGCAGUUAGUUAAAUCCACAAUUGACAUAGACUGCCUACAGGUAUCCUUGAAGUUUUGGAUGAACCGGGCCUUCAGCUCAGCCCAAGACCCAAUGGAAUUCGGCGGUAGCCCUUUCAACCAAGUGCGGGCAGUCCCAUCUAACAUCAUGGUGAAGUACUUGGCCAUCGCCGCCUCACUGACCUCCAGCAGUUCCAUGGCCAUCUCGUAACUCUCGAUCCAGGCCGCGGGUUGUAAGUCAGUUGUGUAAUUAGGCACCUUCCUAGGGCCUUUGAAGUCCUUGGGUAGACGUUCAUUGCGGAUAGCUGGCACUAGACAAGGGACACCCCCAGUCCUAGUAGGGAUACCCACGUCGACGGAAGUCGUCGGAUAAGCCGGGGGGUCUGGUAAACCGUCAAUUGAGGCACCUGUUCCGCCUCUUGCCGCGCUCUGUCCUGGUCUGCUGCGUGAAAGGCUCCAUUAUGAGCCGGGCCAUGGCCAGGGGCGGGUCAUGGCAUCGGACGUUACUUGAGCCGGUCGCUGAGACCAUGUGUCUGCUGUAACUCGUGCUCCGGCCUGGGCGAGGGGUCGAGUGGAUCCUGUCCCGGCUGUAGGAGUACGCUUCUUGCUGCGCCAGUGCUGUCUGAAGGAGUUCCCUGACCCGGCAGGUUUCAAUAGCCGUCGGGGAGUCGCCAUCGACUGGGAGAGCCGCCAGCCGUGCUGCCACGGCGACCAUGUUCUCCAGCGGGUUAUUAUAAUGACCCGGGGGUAUUGGCACGUACUGAGGCGGGGCAGGGGGCACCUGAGGAGGCCCCAUCACUUGUGGCUGAAUAGGGGUCCUAGACCCGGGCACUAUGACCCCUGGUGGGUUACUAGACCCUGCACCUGGCGUGUUGAAGAGGUUGCGUGGAUCAUAAACCGGAGGGAGUCGAGAUUGGGUCUUUUGAUGCCUCCUUCUCAUGACCUCAUUGGACGCGUUCUGAUCCAUCGUGAGUUGGAAGGACUGCGCCUGGAUCAACUGAGUUUGGGCAUCGAGAGCCGCCCUCUCCGCAGCCAUCCUGAUCCCUUCCGCUGCAAGAUCCUCCUUAGCUUUCACUAGAUCCAAUUUUAACUGUGCCACCUCCGCAUCAUGCUGAGCUUGAUCCGCCGGGUCAACCGUGGCGAUUAACAGGGCCGUCAUCUUGUCCGUGAGAUCCAUCAGCACCUGAGCCGGAGAAGGCACCGGGUUUCCCGCUCCAGCAGCGGGGUUCUGAACAGGCUGCGCACCGGCCAUAAAGAUUCCGACCCGGCUUGGCGGCUCAAAUAGGUCCAGAAUACUGUCACCAUUGGAACAACCCAUGAGCCUGCCAUCUUGAAGUUGAUACAACGAGUUUGACUCAUCGGUGGCCGACUCGCCGUCAGAGCCGGCGGCCGUCUCAUCACCAGAUCCAGAACGAUCAGAGAGUCCUCCAUGGAUGCACCCCACAAAAGCAUGCCUUAAGGCAGGCCGGGCCCGGGCGGGUCGAGCACGCUGAGCCGUCUCGAUGAGGUCGGCGCGGAGAUCCGGCUCAGGGCCCGGCUCACCAAUCUUAAGCCCAUCUUCGGCCCACCGUCUUCAAGCUUAGCGUCGGGCUUCUGGCAAUGACCAUAUGAGUAACCUGGCUCCUCCUGGCGGGUGACUCUAAGGUCCAUAUCCUCAACACAAUCGGAGGUACUUCUUGCUAAAAUUAGUUCUUGUAUGAGUAAACUUUCGAGUACAUAAGAGGCAGCACAGACAAUCUGAACUUUGCUUGUAGGUUUAUCCUCAAAUAGUGGCCUCGUGCCGAGGCAGGUUUGAGCAACUUGGCCACUACUUUCAUCCAACUAGUUUACUGGCUCAUCUUGGUCCUGUAUCUCGCCAAAAUUCUACAUUGCAGACGAGAAAGGAGGCGGUUGAGAAAAUGAAUCACCCAAAUUUUUUGUGCAGUUCAACUGAAAUGGAGCAUCCUUGGCGUGCAGACUGAUUAAGUGCCAGAUGAAUAUACGCGUCAACCAACUUGUCUGGAAUCUUUAGACUCCAUGCCAUAUAGUUCGCUACCAUAUGUGCCGAUAACCAAAAGGCACAAGUUGGGACCAAAGACUGGACUGCGUUUUUCUGGGCUAUGCACCAAGCAAUAUUUUUGGCGUUCACUCUCCUAAUACUUGGAGUUUCACAAUUGGUUGACGCCGGUUGAUACUCGAAUGAAUAUAGGCACUUCUUGUCAACAUCGAUGCUUGUCUGAGUGAACUUUGGAGUACAUAGCAGCAGCAUAAGUACCUGUCCAUCUGAUCAUUUUGUGCAGUUCUACUGAAAUCACCCGAUGUAAUGAUUUGCCUGCGAGUUCAGGCUCCAAAUUACUCCUUUAUGAAAUCGGCAAACAGUAGCACAAUACCAAAUUACCAAUACAUAUGAUAGGCACAAUAAUCAGGAUAAAGACCAGUACCAACCUAUGUGAGGUAGCAUAUCAAUUACUAUUUCCUUUGACUGGAAGCCGAGAUAAGCCAAGCGACUGACAGCAAAGGAAGAAAGCAAGCGGAGAUUAGCGACUGACAGGAAAGGACGGAAGCUGUCGAGGCAAUGAAGCACCCAAAGUUUUUGUGCAGUUCCACCAAAAUCGAGCAUCCCUGUUGGCACAUAUAUUGAGAGAGUGAGAUUACUGUAAUAGUGGGACUAGUUGAUGAAACAUACACUAACAAAUAGAAGCACCCUCAUUAUCUUAAUGGGUAAAGUUAGCAACAUAGUAGUCUUGCUUAAAGAGAGGUAUUAGUUUAUUUAAUCAGUGCCAAUUAGCUCAACUCAACACUCAAAGCAUUGCCAUUUAUCAUAGGUUGCAAAACUUUAACAUGCAAAGAUAAAGGAGUUUCUCAUGACAGUAGCACGAUACAAAUAGAGAUGACAGCAAACUAAUAUGGAUGAAGGCCUUAGGCCCGUACCAACCUGAGAAAAAAGCUUAUUCAUGUAGUCCCAUAAGAGAUGAUAAAGCACUCACUGGAAUCACACAAUAGUAUAUAUUUUUGUGCACUUCAAAUGUAUGGUUGAAAUCACUCUUGUUUACCAGUGCUGAGAUUAUAUCGAAAGAUUAUCAAGAACUUCCAGCAGAGUUAAAGCACUGGCUGGGAUACAGUUCAUUGUAUUGUCUUGUGUAGUUCCACUAAAAUGUAUGAUUGGCACAACAUGAUCCAUGUUUGCACAAGUAGGAACAAGGUGAAACCUUCAUUAGCUUAGUGAGAAAGGAUAGGAAGACAUUAGCAUAUUACUAAAACAGUAGCAUCAAAUUCAUGAUGGACAAUACGCAAAACAUUGCCUCAUUGAACCAAUGGCAAUAAAUUGAGAUGCAAAACAAUAGCACUAUUAUGUCAUGACACUAAUAAUAUUCCCUCCCUGCUCCACCACAUGAUUCACCUCCAUAGACAAACAUACACACGUACAUGAUUCAACAUAGGGUCCUACUAAAGAUUUGUUUAACUCCAAUAGGAAAAUUAGGCAGUAAUAAAUUAGUGGUACUUAAGUACUCCUAAUUAAUUAAGUGAGACAGCAGAAGUGGAAGGGCUCCCUGGAGGAUCGUCUCACAUGUAAGGUAGUCAUUGCCGGAGCCCUUGAAUGGCCUCGACUGAGGCCUCUGGCUUCAGCAAGAUCGCCUUGGCACUGUUUAUUCUUCUUCUUCCUCUUCAUGCUCUAUUUCUCUUUCUCCUCACCAGUUGGUGAAACCAAGUACAUGAUUGGCCUUCUAAUUCAGAAUUGGUUUUGUCAGUGAGGGAGUACAAGUGUACUAGUAAAAAACAGCAUUAUUUUCUCAUGGCAGUCGGAAAAUAGAGAUGAACACAUGCAUUAAAUAUCAUUCUUACCUAAAGGAAGGUUAUGGCGCCAAUAUGGAUGAUGAGGAUUGGAACACAGAUCUCCCUUUGUGCAGUUCCACCAAAAUGAACCAACUGUUCCAUUCUGACAUUCCAGUUAAACAGCACAAAAGUCACUUCUUUUAAGAAGAGUUUUGUGCAGUGCACCAAAAGGUCACAACAGCAACCAGGUGAAUUGGAUAUCCCUGUUUGCACAAAAAGGCACAGAGGAAACAGUCAGAGUCUCAAACAAUUACAGGCAAAAACAUUUGGCUAAACUUGUCAUGGCUUAUAACAGUGGCAUGGCUUCAUUUUUACCAGGGACAUUAGAUUAAGAACAGCUAAGGCUGCGUUCGGUUCACAGGUUUGGUGCAGGAUUUUCGUAGGAACACAAUUCCUACGGUAUUCUUUCCCUUCCAACCGUUCGGAACACGGGAAAGGUGAAUAGUGUUUCAUAGGAAAGCUGGUCUGGUAUUACUGAUUCCAUAGGAUUAGAAACAUCCACGCGUUGCUAAUUUUUCGGGCGGAAGCCCGACGCAGGCGCUCGCUGCCAUGCGUUAGACAGGUUGUUGUGCUGUGUUGCCGGAAUAAAAAAUGAACCUAUGUGUGGUACGUGAGGUGAGGACAAGUGUAGUCACUGUGGAGCUGAAUAAGCAAAUAGCAUCUCAUACUGCCAAGCAUGCUACUCUAAAAAAAAUAUGUACAUUUCGUAGUCCAUCCGAACACAUUCCCUUGAGAGUUUCCUCCGGUUCGCUGUUCCCUAGUUUUAUACCUACAUUCCUUUCCUAUUCCUCUAUUUUCAUCAAGACCUAUGUUUUCUGCCCCUUUAUUCCGAACGGAGCCUAAAUAUUUGGUAUAAGGGCAUGGGACAGUGGGUGCACCAGCAGUCCAGCACCAUGUACGUAAACAGGGGCAUAAAGUGGUGAUUCAUAGUUUGUUGCCCCGGGAAACAAACAUCCAAGAAACAUAUCUGGGUUGGUCCCAUUUUUGUUCACUCUAGCCACCUACUCCUAUAUGUGGAUAGCAAAUCUAGUCCUGGUCAUACCACUGUGUACAACGUUACCCCUAUAUUUCCCUUUUCGACCAAGAGACCGGUUGGAUGACCAGUCUGUACUACUUUCACCCCCUUUCCUUCCUCUUUGUACCAAGUCCGAUGUACAUACUAAAUUCCCCACCCCCACUUUAUUUCUUGUUUGAACCAAGUACUCCCUCCGUCCGGAAUUACUUGUCAUCAAAAUGGAUGUGUCUAGAACUAAAAUACAUCUAGAUACAUCCAUUUCAAUGACAAGUAUUUUCGUACGGAGGGAGCACAAGAUUCGACUCCAUGAAGUAGCUUUACCUCUAACAAUAGAAGAAAAAAAUAUGAUGUUGGACCAUCCGAUCGAGAGGGGCUGAGAGGUAGAAAAUGAUGCACAUGCAGCGACGUAGCGAGCUGGGGAAGUAGAGCUAGGGAGGUUUCGAACGAAGAUAUACCUGAAGGUCGUCGGGAUGUGGAUAGGUGGGCGGCGGGAGGCCGGAUCCGCCCACAGGCAACGACGAAGGGAUCGGAGGACCUCCCGCGCCGGCGCUCGGCCAGAGAUAACGGUGCGGCCGGCAGUGGGUCUCCUCCCUCGCUGUCGAUGACGGCCUAAACGCUGCCCCUCCUCCCCUUCACCGGCGGAGAGGAUACGUCCGGAUCUGUAACCAGCGGUGAGGAUAGAAAGCCAGUGUUUUUUGAAGGGAGAAAGACAGUGUUACUACCCCUAUCUUGUUUAGAUCUGGAGAGGAUGAGAGUAUGUGAAUAGAGCAACCCUAGCAAGCAAGCGCGGAGGCUCCGGCCUAUAUAUACGUAGUGGGGUAGUUUUCCUUUUUCACUCCAUCAAAACAAUCGUUUAAAAUUGUGUACUACUACAUGCCAGGUCGCAGGUUUUUUUAGUUGUUGAUUGUUUUUUGAUAUAGCUACCUGCUUGUUCCAAGUGGUGUUACGGUGUGCCAGGUCGCACUUUGUAUCGUUCAAGUCUGGUACUACAAGUCCCUCCAUUAAAUGAACAACCACCCCCUCGUAAAAAUUGUGAACAAGCCCACGGCUAAAAUUAGCGGAAACGUGGGUUGCCCCAACAUGCAUUAUUAUUUAUAUUUUCUACUCCCUCCGUUCCUAAAUAUAAGUCUUUUUUAUUAGCCACACCUAAGACAAGAAUUUUUUUAUUAGCAAUGAACCCCACAUGUCAUAGACACAAAAAUUGUGGCAAGAUUCCCUUAGGCAAGCCAAAUUGUGUCUAACAAUUUGAUCAACUCAGGUUAGGGAAGUGUGGCAAGUGUGGGAAAAAUAAUGUGGCAACAUAAGACAAACAUAGUCACAAUCCAAACAGCCCCGUAAUUUUUUGUGACAUGCAUGAAAAUUUGGUUUGUUAAAUUUAUAGUCAAAAUUUGGCAAGGUGCAUCAAAUCAACACAUGCAAGUAUCAAAAUGAAAGUCACGGCAUGCAUGCAUGCGUUGUACUCCCUCCGUUUCCAAAUAUAAGUCUUUUUAGAGAUUGCAACAAGUGACUACAUACGAAGCAGAAUAUGUCUACUCCUACAUACGAAGUAGCCCAUUUGAAAUGUGUAAAAAGACUUAUAUCGAGUGCAGUGCUUUGAUGUGUCGCGUCAACUCGUACAAGACCGAGAAAUUCAAUUACUACGGUGUUGUUUGGUUUCUAGCCACACCUUGCCACACUUUGCCACACCUAACCUUAGGCAACUUUGACCAAGUUAGAUAGGUGUUUGGUUCUAGCCACACCUAAGGCAAGAAUUGUUUUAUGAGCAAUGAACCCCACAUGUCAUAGACACAAAAAGUGUGGCAAGAUUCCCUUAGGCAAGCCAAAGUGUGGCUAACAAUUUGAGCAACUCAACUAAGGCAAGUGUGGCUAAAAUCAUGUGGCAACAUAUGGCAAAGAUAGUCACAAUCCAAACAGCCCCUACAACGCCCUCUCCCUCGCGGACUGAGCUCUGGUGCCUUAACUGCACCUGCCUUUGGCUGCAUGACAGGAGGGCCAACCACCUGUUGGGCCCACCUGUCAUAGACGCAAAGGCAGGAGCAGUAAGUAGAAGCUUUCGCUACACGCUAUCCCUCCCGCACGAGGUCGACAGACAUGCAGCAGUGGAUUUGAUACUGUAGAAGUAGGAGUAACAUCAUUGUUCGUCUUCUCGAAGAGGCGAAGAGCCAAGCGCAACCCGAACGUGGCAGUUGCGAACGCUCGCGUGGUGCGGUUCCUUGGAGUACUAGCCAGGCUCUUGCAUGAGACAAAAUUGCUAUUGUUUAACAAUUAAACUCCAUUAUCCAUUGGUUGACACUCAUUCUGCAUAGGUCCACACGCUUAGCACCGUUUCCUCCUGGGGUCACCAAUGUUUAUUUGCUAAUUAAUAGCAUUGCAUGCAAUGAACUAGCCAUUGCAAGUCAUUAAAAGCAUGCACACCUCUCAUCUCUUAUUGGUUGAUAUGUCAAGAAACAAGAAACAAGGUAGAAGUUAAUGCACCGCGCCUAAGUGUUUUGGGACUAUUUGGUUUUUGUAAGAUGACUUACACACCUAGACGGAGGGAGUAGUACAGCCCUGUAAACCGGAAAGGAGUAUUUGCCUUUCUAGAGAUUUCAACAAGUGACUAGACUACACCGUGUGCAGGACUCCCUCCCUUCCGGUUUAUAGGGCUCAAAUCUCAAAUCUCAUGAACCAAGGCAUUUUGCGAUUGGAGGAAUGUAUCUCGUACUUUACAAAACUACCCUAAUUAAACUCAUGCAUUAAUUACGUAGUUCUCUCGUUUUCCUCUCCGCCUUGGUCGCGGUGCACAAUAUUGAGCACUCCUAUAUGACUAGCCGCUCUAUCUACAUGCGGGACAUUUCAAAGCAUCCGGGCCCGUGUGCCAUCCACCAAAUCACAGCGAGGUGCUACAGUCGAGACUCACCUGUCACCCCGGCGUGGCCGUCAUGACCCGUCAUAUCACAAAACCCACACCUUUACCAGCAGUGGUAAGGUGGCCUCCAAGUUGGACUGGACGAAGCAACCAUCAUUUCACUGGAACGCUCGUUCAAGCCCUUUCUUCCCUUUCUUAAAGAAAACCUCACUCCAGGAUACUCACUUCUGCCAUUUUUCUUCUGUACCGACGAAGGAAAGGUGGGCGAAUCAGCUAUGCUGCUAUAUUUUCAUUCCAAGAAUCUUCUUUUUGCGAAACACCGACCGAUUCUCACAUCCUAUUCUUUUCCCAUUUUCAUUGCGAUUGUGGUUUCCUUUCGAUUGCUUUUUGUUUGUCAGUCCAUUGAUGGAUCCUGGAGCACUAGGCAAAGAGUUGCCGGCGGACAACCCACUGGAGACAGCGAUCUCCAGGAAGCGAGCACCGACCAACGAGUUGACCAUGUUGGCGGGCCAACCCAUGGAGACGAAGAACUCCAAGAAACAAGCACUGGCCAAAGAGUUGAGGACGUUGGCGGACGAACUCCUCAAAGAAAGUUGGAAGAACAGCAAGGGCCCCACCGUGCCUACCCCAGGAACUCUGAUUGCCACCUAUGUGAGGCUCAAGACCGAGUUUGAGGAGAUAGUCGCCGUUGAGAAGCAGUAUUCCCCUGUCAAGGUGAUGGCCCCCAUCGAGGACGAGGAGAUGGCCCCCGGAGGGAUGAGAUCCCCCGGUGAGCUGCACAACGUAAAAAAUAAUGGCUUAUUACCAUAGUUGUGGUUUUUGAUUAUUUGCAAUGUGCUUGCUAAUAUGUUAGGGUUGUGCAGGUGCUGGUGGACGUCCUUGAUGAUUCCGAUGUCGUGGCCCGUCCUGUUGGCAUCGCCCUGGAGAUCGAUUCCGAUGCCGCUGUCCAUCAUGUGGACAUCGCCCCAGAGAUCGAUUCCGAUGUUGCGGUCAGUCCUGUGGACAUCGCCCCAGAAAUCGAUUCCCAUGCCGCUGUCCGUGCUGUGGUCAUUGCCCGAGAGAUCGAUGACAAGAAAUAGUUGGUCGCGCUAAUCCUUCAGGGUAGUUUGCAUUGCCCUGUGUUUAAUUACCAGAACGAUGCAUGUUAUCAAACCAUCUUAGGGCUAGUGCACUGUCUUGUGUGGGCGGAUCUUGCUACUUUUGUUUGAUAGUGAAUCAUGCGAUGAAUCAUGCGAACCCUCUCUGAGUUAUGGAAACAGAUGUAUCCUCACCAUCUUUUGAUGUAAUAUAUGGCAUGCUUAGAUGUAAGUUUGAACUGUUUAUCAUAUCAGUAGGGCUUGUUUGAUGAUUUUUAGUGUUAGUAGGCUAGCUACUGUGCGAGCUAUAGUACUUGCAAAACACUCACCGAAGAGAAACAUUGGGGCUGAUGAGCUCGUGGUACGCUUAUACUUAUCCCUCGUCGAUCAACCAAUAGCCCUAGCUCCUAAAAUUGUAGGCUUAGCGAUCGAUCAGACAAUAGUCGACAUACAUUCAGGCCUCAUUUGGUUCAUAGGGUAGGAAAAUCGUAGAAAAAGUACAGAGAACGUGCAACACAAAAUCAUAGCAGUGCAGAGACGUACUCCCUCCGUUCCAAAAUAGUAGAUGACCUAGGCGGGCUAGUUUGGCCUAGUGGGUUUCAGUGAUAUGACGUGGUACAGUGUCGUCCAGUCUUCGCGUGUGGUAGCAGUAUUGCGGGUACAGUAAGUUUUCUUGAAGAAGCGGAAUUCAACGAAGUCAUGAUGGUUCCUUCGUCCGAACAACUUACAGUGGGAAAGGUUGGGCCUGCGAUACGACCGGUGUAGACCAGGAUAAUUUUGUGCAUGGUAGAUGGACCAGGAUGGUCGACGUCCCACAUGUCGGCGAAUGAAAGUAUUCUUUCCGAUAUAGAGGAUGAGCAACGAGUAUUCAUUGUUUAUUUUUGAUGAAAGCUAUUGUCUCCACUGUUACGACGGAGGAGUGUGAAACACGGCAGCCGAGUGAACUUGACACGUGCACCACUCCCUCCUUCCUCAUGUAAUGCCCAGGUUACAACUUUUUCUCACUUUCUCUCUAUCUAUUUCCUCUCAAAAAAAAUUUACCUUUCUUUUUUUAAGACACAAUUGUUUUUAUGCCUUUUUUAGAAUUAUUUUUUUAUACCUAGGAGCACGUGUAGAGACGGGAUCUUGCAGAGCCCACUCCUUGACUUUGUCAAUGCCUCUCUCUCCUCCACAUAAGGAGUACUACUUGCUAUGCAUGCAUGCGGCGGGCAGCUGGCGUCUUGAGGGGCCAGGGCGGUGAGAGCGGGCUCCGGAAGCGGUCCGGACUCCAGCAUGGCCCACCUCACAUUAUCACCAUAUAUUUCUUGGAGUCCGUGCGCGGUGGGCGGGCGGUCUCUUCUCCCUCCCCCGUGUCUCUCUUCUCAGUCGACGCCCGCCGAGCGAUUAGAUUUCGGCUAUCGACAGUUUAUUCAAUUACGGUCCCACAUGUCAGUGAAAUUGCAAGACAACGCGUGUCCCCUCUGGUGAGCGGCGUGCGAGCCGGACUGUCGGGGUUGCGACGCGUACGAGUCGUAAGUGUGCCGCCUUUUCCUUUAGAACUUGCGAAGCGUAACAUUUUCGCGCGAUUGAUCGAUAGAAAUCCAGAACAAAAUGACAAGGGCGGUGCUUUCCCGGUCGUUAGGCGGGCUAGUUCGAGUGAUAUGACGUGCUACAGUGCCGUCCACUUGCUCCAUUUUUAUGUAAGCAAGAGUUUACACUCUUACGCGGGAGGAGUGCGAAACACCGCGGAUCUGAUUUUGAUCGAGGGAUAACUGUUCCCUGCCAAAUAAUGGAGGAUUGUUAGCGAUUAUAGCAUGAUAGUUAGGGCAUCUCCAGCGCUGGCCCACAAAUUUACACCGGCAUCUGUCCGAGGACACUGAUGGAUGCCAUCCGAUGCUGCCCGCAUACCUUUCGACAACUAUAUGAACUAACCGGACGAAAUUCGUGCAAACAAAGCAAAUUUCAAAUUAACCGGAUGAAAUUCAUUACAUUUUGAAAACUUCUCCUACAAACUGGACGAAAUUCAUUACAUAUUUCGCACAAACCUUACUAAAAUCUACUAUAAACCUAAUCUAAACGAUCGCCGGCGCCCGACCACCAUGUCCGGCCAUGAACCCGAGGAAGCCGGCCAUUGCCUUUGCCUCCUCCUCAUCCGCCUCGAUAACCUCCUCCUCCAGAGCGGCGGCGACCUACCGUGUACUACUCUUCCUCGCUGCCGGCUGCGCCCGCGCACGCGCGCCGGCUUCGUGGUCGUGGCGGCGGAGGGCGGCCGGGGGGUGCCGGCGAUCUCCUUCGUUUGCUCCUGCGACAGUACGUCGAAGAGAGCUUUGGAGCGCGCCCAGAGCGGAGCCGCUGAUGUCCCUCGUCUGCUCCUGUGACAGUACGUCCAAGAGAGCUUCGAAGCGCCAGGAGGCCAUGGUUGAAGUGGUGCCGACAGAAGGAAGGGACCAGAGGAGAAUAAGUGUGGGUCUUUGGCUAUGGCUGGGAGCUGGGGCUCAAGUUAAUAUAGCGGGCGAAUGGCAAUGAGCCGCGGCAGACGAAUGGACAACUGGCGCCGGAGUAGGUUCAUCAGGCGUGAAUGCGGACGCUGCUUCAGUGACUUAACUGCAGAUGCAUUUGGGUUACUGACAUGUGGGCCCAACGGGCAUCUGGCCCGCAUGUCAGUGACACACCAAUUACACCUGCAGUUAAGUCCGGUGAAUGCGGCAUUGACAUUCUGGAGAGACGGUGACCGUUUCAGGCGGGAAGCGCGCGCUAACGAUGGAAAGGGUUUCGGUGUGCAGUGGCACUAAGAUCGGUCGCUCACGAUAGUACAUACUCCGUACCAUACUACCAUAGUACCCUCUCUAGCUUAGGCUGAUUUAUAGAUUGUCGUUGUGAUGGACGAUAUACAUGAGCAAGGCGGUCCGAGUAUGACCGUUGGUGUUGAGCCAGGUGAAUACAUGCUCGGCGUUCGUGUAGGCCUCCAUCAAACGUCUAAACAGUAAUGUCAGGCACCGCCGGGGCGCGCAGGUGAUGGGCUCGCCGUUUGCAUUGCGCCAUGAGCAGGACUUUGAUUUAGAGGGCGACAUGCAUGCAUUAGCAUGCUUUGACAGCGUGAGCGUGAGUGUCUGAUGCGAAGUAUUUCAUUUUCAUUUGGCUGACGAGGGUGCGUUGCAGCGACGAGUCUGUGGUUUGAUUCCCCACAUUGCGCAUAAUUUUGGUUUUUACAGUAUUUCUUUCUCCAUUGACACGUAGGCCCGCGUAGAUAGAUAAAGAACACGAGCUGAUGAGGCGCAUGCGGACUGUUCGACUGGUCAACCAGACAAAUACGGAGCUAUACGCUGAGCCAGUGACCGUAUAAUCACCAUAUCUCGUAUACAAUGAUCAAAGUGAGCUAUCAAGACAAGUUCGAUGACCGCCAAUGCAUUUUACUUGGUAAUAAAUGACCAGGAUUGAAGGGGAAUCCAAAUUUUCUUCGUCUUCUGUCCUUGAGCUCUUGACAAACCAAUGCACUAUACGGCUGCCCGGCCACUCCACCCCAGAGCUCUCACCAAGCGUUGUUCAUGCCACCGCGCUGCACACUAACCGGUAAGGCAGCGAUGGCAUCCCGCCACGCCGAGUUCCUCGCCACCCACGACCGCACACAAAAUGGUAGGAAAGCGAUGGCAUCCCGCCGUGCCGAGUUCAUCGCUGCUCGCGACCUCACAACUAUUUGGGAGGAAUCUUAAGAUGCCAAGGCCGAAUGGGCGGUAGAGCAAGAGGCGGCCAAAGCCGCACAGAGGGAGCGGAAAAGUCAGAAAGCACUCAAGAAAAGAGAGGCCCACCGCCGCAAGAAAGAAAAGGACGCACGCGCUGCUGCGGAGAGGUCGGCGGAGAUCCAAGCACGGUGGGGUGUCGCCGACAAAGCCGGGAAGGAGAACGACGGCGUCUGGCCAGCAUGUGAGAAGUAGUAGUACUAGUAGUUAGUGUGUGUGUUUGUGCCUGAGUACGAGCAUGUACCAAUACUACUAGUUACUACUGUAGUUUUUAGAGAAAAUUACCAGUACAUUAGCCUAGACUAAAUGGAAAAAUUCCUAUCCUAAGCAUCAAAUGGCAUCUCUUUCUCUAUAGGAAUUGAGAUGCAUGUCAUCUCACUUCCUAUGAUUUUCAUAUUCCUAUCCUAUGAACGAAAGGAGGCCUCUGUUGGAGUAACUACUGUAGCUAGCAGUACUGUUGGCACAGUAGUUUUCUUCAAGAAGCGGAAUUCAAGGAAGUCAUGAUGGUUCCUUCGUACGAGCAACUUCAAAGUGGGAAGUGGGCCUGUGAUUUGACGGCUCAUUAGUCAUUGUUACUAUGGCGCGACGACCUGGGUGACUCUCCCUUGGAGUUCUGCGUGCAUGGCAAGUGGACCAGGAUGGUCGACGUCCCACAUGUUGGCAAACGGAAGUAUUCUUUCCGAUAUCGAGGAGCAAGGAAACCGCGUGGUAUAGUAUCACUGCUGAUUGGUUCGCAAAAAAAAAAUAGUAUCACUGCCGAUUUAUAAUUAUUUUUUAUUUUUGAUGAAUGCUAGUGUUUCAACUCUUAUGACGAAGGGUACCAAACACGGCACGUGCUGGAUGUCCCACACGUCAGCGAAAGGAGUGGGACAUGAACAACGUGGUAGAGCCCAGCGUAAAAAAACAGCGUGCUAGAGCGUCUCCACUUCUUUAGCUUCUAGAUCGGAGACCACACGUAGUAGUACUUAGUGGUAUGAACGAUACAAAGUGCGACCUGGAGAGAAAGACACGUCUAGUUGGAAGGUCUCGGGGCAUACACGUAAACAAAUAUAAAAGUUAAUAUGUGCCUCCAACUAAUAUAGUAGUAGUAGAGUACUUAGGCACGUACUCCAUAACAUCACCGUGCAUUGCACGUACAACAUUUAGUGGUAGUACGUAGUAAGAGACAAAUGCCGCCCAAGAGUUCCCUUCUCGACCUACUUUUGGGUGUUUGGUAGAGUGUAUGGAGGGUGCAUGAGUCCACACUAAUUUAGCACAAAUACACUAGAAGCAUGCAUGAAGAGAGCAUGCAUGAAGAGGGGUGUUGAGUUGAGCAUGCAUGAAGAGGGAACAACUAUGCUAAGACGAGAACGCAACCAAACACACCCUAUAUGCCACGCAUGUUCAUACCAUUUGUGCCUUUCUACUUCACUUACUGCGCUACAUUACUCAAGUUCGUACGUCCACUCCUGGGUACAUGUCCGUCUCGUAGUUCCAGUCCCAAGUGUUCUUCAUAUAGAUGGAACGAUCCUUGCAUAACAUGCGCGCCUUGAUGCUAGAUGUCUCGCGUGUUGGCAAAAGGAUGAACAAAGCUCACGUAGAAAAUAGAGUGGAAGAACAUAGAUUCCGGACGACCGAGAAGGAGCAAGGAACCUCGUGGUGGAGCGUCUGCACUCAUAAUAUUUAAUAUUAUUCAGCGAUGUAAAAUUAACCAAUCAUCUCCACAGUGGACUGGAAGAGUACGAAACACGGCAGCCCAGUGUAGUUACAUCAUACUAGUACACGGCUAACCCACGCUAUCACCAUAUUUCUUGGCUUCCGUGCGACACCUAUCUCUAGUAAUCCAGCAGCCUGUAUCGCUUCUCCCUCCCCGUCUCUAUCAAAGUGCGGCGGGCUGGCGUUUCUGCCGUCUAUUGAGGUCGGUUAACUAUCACAUGUUAGCAACAUGCCAAGAGCAUUCUAAAAAAAAUCCUUUCAUGUUCCGUUUUCAAAAAGAAAAAAAUCCUUUCACGUACGAAUUUGCCGGUAUGCUUUGAGCAACUUGCAUGUCCUAUACUGCUCCUGUUUGAUACUCUAACUUAGCUAGAGGUUAGACUAACUCAUGACUAACCCUGAACUAACUAUAGCCAAAGAGGUGUUUGGGUGACAGCGUUAGAUUGACAAUAAAUGCACUUCAUGGAGAGAGAAAAGUGAUUUUUCAGUGGUCCCAAUGAGAACUAUCUCCAGUUAGCACCUCUUGGGUGGGAUAGUUUUUUUUUGGUGGGUUCGGUGCAACUUGCUCCAAUUUAAACCCUCAUGCUUGGAUACUUUAGGGCUAUUUGAGCCCCAACUAGCUCAAUCUAACUCUAACCCAUGGAUCCAAACAGGGCCUAUGGCCAGUCUCGACGCGGAGCAGUCGCGUGCACCUGGAAGCGGCGCUCUCUCGGCCGUCGCGCCACUUCAAAGCCGGCGCCAGUGAGAGGUCGCCUCCGCUCUGGCCGGCAUUAAUGCGGCACCGACGCUCCAGGGAGACACUGACCGUUUCACGCGGGAAGCGUGUGCUGGCAAGGGAGUAUAGGUUUUGAACCGUUUCAGGUGUAGUACUGGUAGUUUGCAAAACUACUCAAUUAUUGCACUCAGUUUCCUAAGAAAUUGUGGUAAAAAACAUUACUCCACAGCCCGCUUCCCUUCUCCUUCCUCUUCCACCGCCCGCGCACGUCCGCGGGAAGCAACCGGUCAACCCUUAUAUAGGAGUGCUAGCACAAAAAGAUGCAUGCAUGGCCACUAAAAUUUCCAUAUUAAAGCGCCACUCCGGCGGGAGUAUGGCGUAUGUUGUUACCUUCGGCCGGUCCAUGGCUAUCGGGCGACGGCGACCAGAGAAGAGGCGGCAGGAGGGGAAUGAAUGCAGCUACUGUUUGGGUUCGCCUUCCGGCUUAAAUAAAUGCGCAGCAUCACAUGUACCCGCGGGUGCACAAAUUGUAACAUACGUGUCUGCUUAAGUGGGCGUCACGUAACUGGUGUGUGUGUGAGAGAGAUUCUGAGAGACAGAGUGCGUGUGUGCGACUCUACUCUUCGGACAUGUACUCAACCUUUUGCAUCGGGAUAUAAGUAUAAUGGUAUUUACUUUAGCUAGUGAUUUACGUGGCCAUAUUAACGUGGUUGUGUCAAAAAACUGUCACUUCCUGCUCGUGAUUUGCGUUAUAUAAUUACAAGCAAGAUUCUCGUGCAUUGCACGGAACAUCAAUAUGCAUUUUUUUUACAGAACACCUGUUGUGAUUGACCCAUGCAGGAGUAAUCCCAUGUGUAAAAACUAAUGAUAUCUCGAGAAUUUUAUCGGAAAACUUGUAUCUCGAGAAUGUCAUCAAAAAAAAUGAAAGAUGAGAGAUAAGGCGAGGAGGAGUGGAGCGUGGUGGUGACUGGUGGUCGGAAUGGGCGGAGGCAUGGGGAUGGACGGCGCCGGCAGGCGACAGCGGCCACCAUGCAUGCUAGAUUGUUCCAGAGACUUAUUCCUUUUUUAAUUGCUGAGCAAUGAGGUUGCGGGAGAUAAUGAUGUGGAGAGAGGUGCGGGUAUCUUUUGUAAAAUUAUCAUAGUUUGCUUUCUAUCCUCAGAUAUAGAUCAUACGGUCUGUAUUACAAGAUGGCAGGCACACCAUCACCGCCAACUCAUUUUUUUAUAAGGGUACAGAUGAUAAGUUUGCUGACUACUAAAGUAAAGUGGAUUUUGUCCAUGUUAUGCAAGUAAAUAAAGGUGAUUGUUUAUCAUACGGGUAAGGUUGGAUGAAGGGUGGUAGGAACAAAUGCUCCGCCUAGAGCAUGUGUGUGUGAGAUGGAGUCUUAGUGUGUGUGGGGUGUGUGUGUGUGUGUGAGAGAGAGAGAGGAGAGAGAUGGAGUCUUAGUUUGUGUGUGUGUGUGAGAGAGAGAGAGAGAGAGAGAGAUGGAGUCUUAGUGUGUGUGUGGGGGGUGCGUGCGUGCGUGUGUGUGUGUGUGUUUGUGUGUGUGUGUGAGAGAGAGAGAUGGAGUCUUAGUGUGUGUGGGGGGGUGCAUGUGUGUGUGUGUGUGUGCGUGUGUGUGUCGCGGGGUCCUCUGUGGCGGAUGUAAUUUAAGUGUGCAUGGCUUCAUCAUAGAGAGGUGAUGUGUAUGGCAGAGGCCACCAACGAUGGGGUGCGAGAGAGAAAAUGCCCGUAGAGAGGGAAGAGAAGGUGUGUGCGCGUGAGAGGAGUCGACAUCGAGAGAACGUGUUUGUUCGAGAGACACCGAGGAAGACUACUAUAUAUCGAUGGUGCAUGUAGGCGGGAAUUAAACAAAGGGAUGGUCUUAUUGGUUUCGGGGAUAUAGGGGAAGAGUGAGAGGCGGGGGGUAGCUAGAAGGAGAUUGUUAAGUGUGAGUGUGUGUUUUACCCAUCCAGGCGGAAGUUAUGUGCACAAAAGAGGAGAACGAUUCGAUGUGGCGUUAGGAUUGAGGGUAAUUAACUACGUAUGGAGACAUAGAGACCUUGAACGUGCAUGUGUGAGAGGUAUACAUGUAUACGUGGGAUGUGUGUGUGUGCGCGCGCGCAUGAUCGAGUUAAAAGAAAGAAGACAUAAGUCAUAAGAUCAACGACAUGGGAGAGAUGGAUCGGUAUGACAAUAUGCAUGCAUGUGAGAAUGCAGGGAAGAAGGCCCGACAAUUGAGCAUGUGUUUUUGUCUUUAAGAGAUAGUGGCGUGGGCUGGAGCAUGCAUCUAUGGCGAGCAGAGGGAGUGAGGCGCAACGAUUGUGCAAAAGAGACCAACCUAUAAAUGCAUAUGUAUGGAGAGACAUAUACAGUGCGGGUGAUAGGAAGCAAGACUCCGUGCGAGAAAGAAAUGUUGACGGAGAAACUACAGAUAGAUACAGAGAUGGAGAUGCUAGCUAGAGGGACAUCCGCUAGUUUAGGUGUUGGAAAUGACCGUCGGGUGGUUCAAAGGGUGAAGUUAUAUAUGUGUGUGAGAGGGCACUUGACUGCAUGUAGAGAGAAACAUAUGUAGUGUGCGUGAUAGGAAUCAAGAGUGAGGGCGAGAAAGAAGGUUGAUGGAGAAACAGAUAAAUAGAAAGAUAAAGAUGCUAGCUAGUGUGCGUUAGAGAUAGGAGUCGAGUGGAUCAGAAGGCUGGGUUAUGUGUGUGGGUGUGAGAGAGAUUGAGAGAGGGUGCAUGUGAGUCACAUAAAAACAGAUAUCAGAGAGAAAUGAGAUCCAGAGAGACGGAGUUUUGUGUCUGCGAGAGAGAAAGAUAUUUCACAACGAGAGUGAUAGCUAGAGAGACAUACGAGGGAACGCAAGAUAUCUCUAGGGAGAGAGGGUGUGUGUGAGUGACAUACAAGAGAACAAUGGAGAAAUAUGAGACCCUGGGAGACAGAGUUUGUGUUUGUGUGUGAGAAAGAGAUAUUGAAGAGGAAGAGUCGUAGGUUCUCAUAUCUAAGGAGCGAAAGACAUCUCUGUAUGAGGGGUGUGCGAGUGGCACACAUGGGAAUAGUAGAGAGAAAUGAGACCCCGGGAGACAAAGUUUUGUGUUUGUGUGAGAGAAAGAGAUUCCACAUGGAGAAUCAUAGUUAGAGACACAUAGCAGGGAGCGAGAUAUACUUAGAGAGAGAUAGAGUGAUGAAGGUCGAGGGAGAGAGUACCAUCAGUGUGUUACGGAGAUAAAAGAUCAUUGUCGACAUACAGGUAGCACGAGAGAUACCUGAGAGACGAUGAACGCGUAUAGGUCCAGAGAGAUAGUCCUAUAUAAGCAUGAGUGAUAGCUAUAUGAGACGAAUAUCUGGAUUAAAGGGGAUUCAAAUAUUUAAACUGGGGAUCACGACAUCGAUAAUAUCAUAACGCAAAUUGGUGUAUCAAACAUGCAUAUUCAUUUGAAUUUGGGCACACGUGUAAUGUUAUAUAGUUUAUCAAUAUUGGUGAUCCAUAGAUUCUUCAAUUACAAACGAUGCAUGGUUUAUAUGCAAUUAAUGUCUAAACGGGAUUACACUAUAUGUUGCGUGUGUGAAACACAUUAUACAUGUUUGAGAAGUAAAAAAAACCGCAUGAAACACACAUUAAUUGGAGACAGUUAGCGAGGAAUGCAUACAUUGGAUUUCAACAUAAAGUGGUUUCAAAUAUUUGAAAAUCCAAAUUGAUGGAUACAACCUUAUGAAUCUGAGAUCAUGCCAUUUGUAAACCAUAUUUAUGUAUAAAUGGUAUUGUGCUUUUGAAAGUAUAUAUAAAAAAUGAUGUAUAUAGAAUGUAAUUCCAAUUGAAAAUGGAUCCCGCCCGGAAAAAAAAUAGAAUACAAACGGGAUUCGAAUUGAGUUGGCACGGUAAACAUGCACUCUGCAAAAUUUGAACGAAGCGGGGAAAGUCGCAGUAACUGCCCGAAACCAAAAUCUGCGAGAUGGAAAUCACUACUGCCUAUCCCUGCUACGCAAAGCCUAUGUGCUGGAUUUCUAUAGGUUUCGAUAGGGGUAGGUUUGUAAUUUCACCCAAACGUGACGUAACCGCCUCUCACCCGGAUUCAUACACGGUGGGCGCCAAAACACAGUGUGUCCUCGGCCGAAAUUGACUCCCUCCCCGAUUCAUAUUCAUACACGGUGGGCGCCAAAAACAAACUCUCGUCGGCAAAUAUUCGGUGUAUGCGAGAUUACCGUCCUAUCCCCAACCGACUAAUGUUGCUGUGAUGUAGUAGAAAUUUGAAACGGGGGCUAAGUUUGUAAAUUUCCUCGCAUUUGAGACAAGCGCGCCCUGAAUACAUGGUUCCCCCCUUCCUCUCUACCUCCCUUUUCCCCAUUCGUACUCCGUGGGCGCCAAAACACCCUCUCCACCCCACCCUCCUCCGUUCGCCGCCGUCCGCCACCCCAUCCACCGCCGUCCUCCUCCACCAUGCCGGAGCUGAUACCCCGACGCCGCCGUCCAUUACAAGAGAUCGACCUCUCUCAUCCACGGCUUCGGACCGGGAUCCUUGCAUCCUGUCCUCUCGCUUCAUCCCCGCCGUCGUCCACCUUGCCGGCGCCGCUCCUACGACCGUCUCGUCCACCGCGCCCCGCCGCCACCGUCUACCCUCCUAGAUCUGCUUCCACGCCGCCGACAACCAUCGCUACCGCAGCACCGUCAAAUUCUCAGCAGAUGCGUACACGGCGCCGCACCAGAGGCGGUACUCUUUCGUAUCUGCUCAACUUAUUUAUCGCAGCAAGAAAAUAGAUCGCCACUGCUUUACUCUGAUUUCUUGUCUUGGUUGCGAAGUUGCCUUUGUCCGGUUUGCACCUUCAGAUCCGCCAUGGCACGCUCAACACUAUACUCCCAAUGCUUAUGGUUUUCCCCUUUUAUAUUCCACACUAGUUAAAUCACAGUAGACUAAAUUUCAAAAUUGGGUCAGUCGAUUUUUCAGAGCUCGCCGGAGUUUGCCGGUGCGAUCGAAGGGGCUCGGGUGGUUGUGGGGCCUCGCCGAACGAAGAAAACUCGACGCGGGUGGGGGUUGGGGCGGGGGUGGGGGUGGCCGAGGAACACAGGCGGUGGGGGCCGGCGGCCCGUGCGGUGUUCUGUAUGGGAAGAAUCAGAGACGAGGAAGAAGAAGGGUUAGGAGACGUAGGAUCUUCAUCCAACCGCCUGAAAUGGUCGAGAGACAGCUGGGAGUUGCAUUCUUAAUGCGCUCUGGUUCAUCAUGUGUGGGCACUGCGCAACCAACAUUUUAUUAUCCAAAAUCUGCUUGCUCUUCUUUACCAUGUUCCUCUUCCGUUCUUCUUUAAUAUGUACUCUCUCCGUUCCUAAAUACAAGUCUUUGUAUAGAUUCCACCAUGGACUACAUAUGGAGCAAAAUGAGUGAAUCUACACUCUAAAAUGUAUCUGGAUACAUCUGUAUGUGAUCCAUAGUGGAAAUCUCUACUAAGACUUAUAUUUUGGAACGGAGGGAGUAUGAUUGUAGUACAGUAUGUUCCUUGUACUGAAGAUGAGCAGGGACAUUUGCAGUGUGGAGGUCUAUACGGUGGGUUGUGAUGGACACUUUGAGCCUCUUUGAUUCGUAGGAUCUUGUAAACAUAGGAAUAUGAUUUGUAGUGGCCUGCCCACUUGAAUCCUAUAAGAAUAGCAAGGAAAUGCGGGGAGCUGUGUCACCUUUGAGAGUUACACUGAUAUUAACAGUACCGCACCUUCACUUUGAUGGCAAGUCUAUAAACGAAUUUCCGGUGAAGUCUCCUGUGCUAAAUUUAGAAGACAUUGAAUGGAAAAACCUUGUUAUGCACUGGUCUCGUUCCUAGGAUGAGAUGCUAUCUAUGAAAUCACAUGACAAUUUGAACUUCUACUUUUCCGCAUGUGCCUUACGGAUCUUUUUUGCAGGAAAUUUGCUCGAAGAAGAAUUCCGGUUUGACAAGAACGACAGGAUAUCGCAAAUAUGCUGCCUGCUGCUUUGCUCUUGUUAGUACCUAUUGUCCUGUAUCACUGUACUUGCAUACAUACCUGGUUCAUUAUGUGACAGCAGUAUGCAUGAUAGCUUGCUUAUCAAUUGUUCGCUCCAAAUUAUUUGAUCUGUAUGAAUGGUUACAUUAGUGUAGAAUAUAUCCAAUGCCAAUGUUUUUUAGCUCUGCAUUGUUCUUGUAAGUACAUGUUGUCCUUUAUCAGUGUACUUAUAAUGACAGGUAAUUUUUCAUGUACCAUCACUCUGCAACUUAUUUUCCUUUGCCCUCCAUUUUGUACACAUCAAAUCUAUAUUUACUCUUACCAUAAGGUUGGUACUGAAGAAGUUUAGCUGUGCAUUGCUCUUGGCUUUACCUUUUGCCUGUAUCGCUGCACUUACAUUUAUAGCUACUUGGUUAUGUAGCAUCACUCUUCAUCUUAUCUUAAAUAUUCUCCAUUUUUUGUAUAUUAUCACAUCUAUAUUUACUCUUAACAAAAUGUAGAAUAAAGGCAAUGCUUUUGAAGAAGAUUCUGUGGUAAACUUCUUGAAUUGCACCCCCCAUCAGCAUGGACAAGGCCUUUAUAGAGCCUGUCUUCACCAAUAAUGUAAGUUUGUCCAUCUCAAGCCUUCAAACUUUGUUGUAUAUAUUUGGUUAGGCAUGACUGCAACAGCUGUUUAUUUUUGGUGUUUGCAUCAAAUUGCUUGUUUAAAGUUUAUUAUGUAGUUCAUAAACAAAAGUUUGUCCUUUCUCAAUUUAAGUUUUCAGUUGUACAACCAAGUUCCUUCUUCAUACCAUGUAAAUUAAACUAUACAGAGCAAGUGAUCUUCUUUUGCACUGCAUGUAUGCUUCUGUUCUUCAUCCGUAAUCCAGUGGUGUGGUGAACCUACCCACUACAGCACAAUGUCAUAUUCUGCAAUGUCUUAACUAUGAACAAUGUCAUAUCAUUCUACUAUUAUUUAAACCGUCUCUUUAUUUGCCAAUCUAAAAUGGUAUAAAUUGACAGCACACUAACCAUUGAUACUUAUGAGUUCUUGAUCUGUAAUCCAGUGGUGUCGUGAAGCUGCCAACUCCUUCACAAUGUCAUUUCCUGCCAUGUCUUGACCUGAACAAUACCAUAUUGUGUUAAUGCAAUUUUAAACUGUGUCACUUUAUUCGUCAGUAAGAAAUGUGAUGAAUUGUCAGCACUGAUACUUUUAUGUACAAAACCUGUCAUCUGUCUGCUUGUUUAUCUUUCAGAGUGAGGAAGAUAUAAGUGUUGAACAAGCACAGUCUCAUCAUCUUGCUCAGCUGCUUGCGCUGCAGCUCCCCAGCAGGGCUAACCUUUCUUGAACUCUAUUGAAGUGCUGUCGGUUUUGUAUAUUAUUUUGUCGGCGUGUUUAUUUGCACUAGUGGCGAUCUUUGAUGCCCAGUGUAUGUAAUCUGCUGUCUACUUGUGCUUUAUUAUCAUAGUGGCGAACUUUGAUGCCCAGUGGAUGUAAUAUGCCGUAAUUUCUUUAUUGUAUAGUCUAGGUUUUUUCUUAUUCAUGAUGUUGCAGUUAUUUUACUGUAUAUAUAUCCUGUCUUCACAGUAAACCGGCCAAACCGUAAAAUUACGGUACAUAAUCGGGCCGUCAUGCAAUCACGAUGUAGGUUGGGCCUGAAACGUGCCGAACAGCUCACGGGCCGGCAGCAGCCCGAAAUGAACCCCGGCCCAUGAUUGUGCGAAUCAAAUCACGGGCUUUUAAUAGGCCAAAAUUGUCUCGGUCCUUGUUUGGCCCAAUCAGAUAUUGGCUGCGAGCAGGCCGGAUGCAAACCGGGCCGUAGUUAGGCCCAACUAUAUGACGGGCUUUUAACAGGCCGAAAUUAAUAUAGGGCCGAAAUGUUAAACGGGCCCUUAACAGGCCAAAACUAAUAUCAGGCCGAAUUACUAAGUGGGCCUUUAGCAAGUGGGCCCAAAAGCAUAGUGUCCAGUUGAUGGGCCGAAUCUGAUAUGGGCCAUAAUUGAGCCCAAAGCCUCUUAAAGGGCCGGACCUGAUCUGGGCCGUAAUUUGGCCCAGAACGUGGUAGGCUUUUAACGGGCCGGAUCUCAUAUGGGCCACUAUUAGGCCCGGAGCGUGGCAGGCCAUUAAUGGACCGGAUCAAAUAUGGGCCGGCAUUUGGCCCAAAACAUGGCAGCCAGUUAAUGGGCCGGCCUACUAGGGUCCUCAAAAUCUUGUGGGCCUAUAGCUGGGCCGGCCCAUUAAUGUCGGCGAAAUCUCAUGGGCCUUUAGCUGGGCCGACCCAUUAUGAUCCGCAAGAAUCUUGUGGGCCUUUACCUGGGCCGGCCCAUUAUGGCACACAAAAUCUUGUGGGCCUUUACCUGGGCCGGCCCAUUAUGGCCCACAAAAUCUUGUGGGCCUUUAGCUGGGCCAGCCCAUUAUGGUCCGCAAAAUAUCAUGGGCCUUUAGCUGGGUCGGCCCAUUAUGGUCCGCAAAAUCUUGUGGGCCUUCAGUUGGGCCGGCCCAUUUAAACUUGAUGGGCCGGUCCACGUGUCAACAUAUCAUAGGCGCGUCUCGCCCAUUGGAUGAGUGACACCUGUGCCAACGCGGACCUGACACGUGUCUCCUCCAGCCAAUGAUGAUUUUACACGUGGAAAAUCCCCAUUGGUCGGGGCUGUUUAACGGGUUAUUGGAUCCAAAACCCGACCCGAUAGCUUAACGGCGUUCCGUUACGGUGGAUGCCACGUGCCGGUCACCCUUGACGAAAGCACUUCUGUGACGCGCGAUUUAUCGUCAUGGAAGUGGACACUUUCGUGAUGAUAAUUUUGGUAAUGUCAUGGAACACUUCUACGACAGCACAUGUAUGACUAUCUUGAUUCUGUCAUAAAUUUGUCAUGGAUGUACAUGCAUGACAAAAAACGCGACCUACUGUGACAAACACAUAUCAUCACGAAAGUGUAUUUUUUUUGUAGUGUCAUAUGCUGACUGCCUUCAUACAAGAAGAGAAAUGGAAAUUUGAAAAGGCCAGGUAGAUCAAGAAAGCGCAGUAUAAGAAGGAGCAUUUUCUGAAGAAACACGUUGUCUCUAGGACAACUGAAGAACUUGUCAAUAUUCAAUCUGAGAUCAAGAAACUCAGUGAUGAAUUUGACGUAUACCGCGCUGACUGGCUUGGAGCCAAAGUCCAUUUUGUGAAGUUGACAGAGAAGUUCACUCCAAAUGUUGCAGCUCCGUCGCAACCAGAAAUUCCUCAGGCUGAAGCAUCUGCUCAGCCGACUGAAGAACAUGCCAGCACCGCUGAUGACAUUCAGGCUGCUGAAGAAAAUGUGAGUUCCAGGGCUGAUGACUGCAUUCCAGCCGCUGAUGAAAUUGUCAGGGCAUCCACUAGUGGUUUGCCUGAAGAAAAUGAAGAGGUCAGGGCAACUGCAUCAGUUGUGCCUGAAGAAACUCAACCAAAUUCCUCUGCUCCUCCUGCGCCUACCCCAACUCCGAUCCUUCCAUCUGCUUCACCUGUGAAGAAGACUAAGGCUGCAGAGCGUGCAGCAGUGAAGAAAAGGAAGGCAUCAACUUCAUCAGAUUCUUCAGCUCCGAAGAAGAUGAAGUCUUUGACCAGCUCGUUUGCAAACCCCAUUGAUGUUGUUCCUAUCUCAACCAUGCCAUCAAAGGACCUUGUUCCUUAUGAUGAAGAAUAUGUGAUUCCUAGCGAAUUCGAUGAAGAAAAUUCUUUUGCUGCUUCGUCAAAGCAGUUGGAUGAAGAAAUUGAAGUGGAUGCACUCCCUUCAACUCCAGUUGUUUCCUCGCCUAUGCCUCAGUUUACUGCUGAAGAGGCCGGCGUCGAAGAAAUGGAAGAUGAGGAUGUGGACAUUGGUUGUACCACACCUGUGCUGAAUGAUGACUUUUGGGAAAGUCAACACCCCAUCUCUCCACUGUUCACACCGUUGCAACAGAUUCCUCAGUCCCCAGUAACUACAGUUCAAGUGGGAUCUGAUGAACCACAUGCCACACCGUCUGUCCAUGAAGAAAUUCCAGCCACUAGUGUUGAAGAAAAUGUAAAUGAAGAAUUGAAGACCCAGGCUGUCACUGAAGAAGAAGCUGAAAUUCCUCAGCCUGUGGAGCCUGAGAUUGUGAUUCCUGAGGUAAUAAUGCAAUUGACUGACACUCCUCAGCCCAAACCAAAGGAUCCAUUCUGAAAGAAGCGGAAAUUCAAGGCUGAUGAUUUCUUCGGCGAGCACGUGUUCUUCACUGACUACAAUCCCUAUGAUUCUGCUCGUCUUAGAAGGAAGCGCUUCUAGACUGCCAGCCAGACCAACUUCUAUUCUUCACUGCUCUUCAACAAGGACAAAGUCUUCAACCACGAGCAUAUUCCUCAUGUGGACAUGGAAUCACUGCCAUGCUUCACACCUGUCCUCAGUGUGCUUCAUGACACAAGCCUCCUCAACUUUUGCACAGACAUAGUUGAUUGGAAUGAAGAGCUCAUUCUUCAAUUCUACGCAACACUUCACAUCACAGGAGAUGCUGACGAUCCGAACUCCUGGGUUUUGGACUGGAUGAUCGAAAACACUCACUACAAAGCACCGGCCUCUGAAUUACUUCACGCCCUGCCCAUCAGUCCUCCACCUGAAGGAGCUCGUUGCAUGUACCAAGAGCCUGAGCUUACAGAUCACUAUAUGCAAGUGCUGAUGAAGCCAUUGAAACCUGGUCAAGCCUCAAGGACAAAAUUCCUCAUGAAGGAAUUGCAGUAUGUACCAAGGACAGUCUAUCGCAUUCUGACAAAGACUAUGAGUCCAAUCAAAGGCCACGACUCAUCUCAUGAGGAAAUUGUUGGCAUCAUGAAGAAUCUGGUAUUCAACAUCAUUCAUGGCAUACCCGUCAACUAUCAUGAUUUCUUCAUGAGGACUCUGGAAAAUGUUGCACUUUCUCUGUUUGAGCUGAAGCCUUAUGCACCUUGGAUUAUGAGAUUCCUCAGGACAAGGUCUUCACUCAACUACAAGGCUGAUUUUCAGAAUCACCUCAGCUACUUGCCCCCGAUUGAAGUCCUCAAGCGGACCUAUUCCUCAGCUGAUGAAAAGGGCAAGGCAUCAGCUGUUAUUGAUGAAGGCAUUCGUCCAUUGGAUGGUCAGUUUCGCAAUGCUGCAUCUUAUUUCACCAAUGAUGACUCUGCCACUCAUGAUUCUGCUGCCCAUGCCUCCAAGCCAAAUCCUCAAGCCACUGCUCCUCGUGUGAUGACUGACCGUGAGCUUCUGCUAAGUCUUCACCAGAAGGUGGAUCGAAACCAUAAAUGGGUUAAGCGUCAGUUUGGUUCAAUUCUUCACAACAUGACUGCUACACAUAAUGCAGUGAAGAAAAAUCAUUACUACCUCCAUGAAGUCUUCAGUCGCACCUGGGCUAUUCUGUCACAUGUAUAUGGUGAAGAAGAUCUGAAGCAAAUGGGUCUCAAGGAGGACUUUGACUGGUCUGCACCUCCACCGAAGAAAUACAAGAAGGUCAAGGUUCCUUCCUUGGUGGCCAGCUCCUAUUCUUCAUCGCGCGACACCGAUGAGCAUGAAGACUUGGACGACACUGCGGCAGACCCUACAUCAACAAACGACCCCAACAACGCUGGCGCUCCUUCAUCAACUUGAUAUUCUUCAGGGGUGUUAGUCCUCAUUUUUUAUCCUUUUGGUCAUUCCAUGACAAAGGGGGAGAAAUUUGAGUUAGUCUUCAAGCGGGUCUAUCUUAUAUGGGCGUUUUUUCUUAAGUUACAACUCUUGUUCUUCUGAUGACUUUGCUGGAUCGAGUUGUAAACUUAAACUCUAUGGUGGCCUGAUACUUUUGCUGAGCUUUUCUGCAUGCUUAUUCCUCAUUAAUGUUUAUGCACGCAUGCUGAAUUACAUCAGUCACCAUAUUUCAUCAUGCAUUUCAAAUUCUUCAUAUUAUAUGUCAAAUGCGUGUAUGAAUUACAAGAUAUAGGGGGAUAUCUCCAUGAUUCAACUCUUGAAGUGUGCAUUGCUUCAAAAGCAAAUUCCUCACUAUGCACAUCUUCAGGGGGAGUUCUUCUAUAUCUUGCAAUCAAAUUUCUCAGUAUCAGUAUUUACACUUCAUGUGUUUAUCUCCAUUGAAAACUUAACCUAUAUUGUCAUCAAUCACCAAAAAGGGGGAGAAUGUAAGUGCAUCUAGUGCCCCUUAGUGAUUUUGGUGUAUUGAAGACUUAUAGGUUAAGGGACUAAUGUGUUUAUGAGUGUACACAGGUCUAUAAGUCUAUGAGAAGUUCGAUAUUUACAGAGAAAGUCGACCCCUAAAUAUGAAGUUCUUCGACUGAAGACUUUGGAUUUCUGAAGACUUUCUGAAGACUUUGAAAGUGAAGAAAUUGGCGUGACCUUGAAGACUUGGUAUUCAUUUGAGGAACAUGAAGCGUGAAGACUUUUGUUUUCGUAGUUUCAUUUUCUCUUUCUUGAGUCAUAGGAAACACCGUACUGUUAAAGGGGUCGAGGAAAUACUAAGGAAAAAUUUCCAAGUGAUGCUCAACUAAAAAUCCUACACCUACCAAUCCCUUCUAGUGAAGCCAUUGGAAAUCUCAUACAGUUCAGUCAAUUUCUUCAGUGACAGAGACGAAGUUCUUCUGGUCGUUGAGGAAUUUGUUCUGACUGAGGAGUUAGGAAUUCGCCAGUGUGGAUUGCCUACACAGUGAGGAACAUGAUAGCCCUGAGGUAUUUGAUACUCAAAAUUCCUACCGUUGCUAUGCUACGCGCCAGCUGUCCCAAAAUAUCUACCCACCUAACGGUCAUAUCAUUGAAGGGCAUUUAUGUCUUAUCAUGUCGGGCUCCCUAGGCUAUAAAUAGCCGCCCCCUACAACCACUAGUUGGUUGGCUGCUCCGAGAGAAACUGACACUUGUCAUUUGAGAGCAUCCCAUCCUCCGAGGACUUUGAGCAAAAAUCAUUGAGUGAGGAAAACCCAAACCCAAACACCUACAAAUCCAAAGUGAUUGAGCAUCAUUGAAGAGAUUGAUCCUGCGUGGAUCCGACGCUUGUUACCUUUGAAGACUGUGCUUCUUCCAGACGGUUAGGCGCCAUGGUCUAGAGCAUCCAAGAGGAAUUGUGGAUCGCCGAGUGAUCGAGUUUGUGAAGGUUCGGAAGUUACCUGAAGACUUACCACGAGUGAUUGGGCGAGGUUUGUGUGACCUUAGCUCAAGGAGAAUACGGUGAGGAUUGUGUGUCCUCAGGUUUAAAUACCUAGCCGCUCCAACCAGAUGUACAACUGAGACAGCAGUUGGAACUGGUCUACCAAAUCAUUGUCUUCACCAAGCUUACUGGUUCUAUUUCCUCAACUCUUUCACUUCCUCAUUACUGUGUUGUGCACUUGUUCAUAUAUGUGUUUGAAGACUUUGACUGAAGACUUUCUCAAUCUCCUCAGUUCAAUUUCUUCAUUUUGUUUGUCUUCAUCCUGUGUUAUCCUGUGUUUACGCUUUCUGUACUCUGUGUUUGUCUUCAUUUCAUCAUGAUGACCAUGCAUGCGUUCUGCUAUGUUUACUUUUGAGUACCUAUUCCGCUGCAAGUAGUUCUUCGCUAAGGAAUUUUCUCACCUGCAAAUUCCUCAGUGAAGAAUUCAUAAAAAUUGCCUAUUCACCCCCCCUCUAGUCGAUAUAACGCACUUUCACCUCUUGGUAGAUUCUGCCGGAGCUUUUGUUGAAUAAAACUCCCCAUAUUUCCCGUAAAAAAACUAAGAGAAAAAAGAUCGAUAAAAAACAUUCAAUAAUGCUACACAUACAAAGAGUUACACGCAAUUACAUGUUGGCUAGAAUUCUUUCUUUCUAACUAACCUCUCCCCCGUAAACCUAUGUAUGUGUACCACUGCAAAAAAAACUAUGUAUAUGUAGCACAAGAAUAUUAGACGAACGGUUCAACUGUGCCGUAACUCAGCUUAACACACGGUUCGUAGUUCAAUUCACCUUGUUACCAUUUCCAUGAGAGGUAAAUACACCACAAGUCAUAGAACUUGCACGCGACGGUCAGUUUGGUGCACAAACUUGUAAAAUAUGUGUUUUCGGUCAUCUAACUUGUCCUUCCGUUUAUAUACGGUGCUUUCUACCGUAUUCGGCCAUAUCAUGUGCACACAUGGGAGGGGCCCACUGUCAGUGGUGGGUAAUCCGCGUGCACUGUUUUUCUUCUUCAGAAAGCACCAUUGCAUUUUAUUUAUUUACACAAAAAAUCCUCAAAUAAAAUAAAAUAUACUCGACCGGCAGCGGGAUUCGAACACAAGACCUGCCACAUUUUACCUCCCCUAAAUAGCCACUUGACAUCCUUACCAUUGACGUUUAUAAGCGACAAUUAGUUUUAUAUAAGACGCAGGCCGUAUGAUUUAAAAUUGAAACCAAACGAGAAACAGGGAAAUCACCGGUUCGAACCUAUGACCACAUAAGCUCGCCGCGUGUGCGAGCACCAACCAUCUGGCCACAAUGAGUUUCAAAAAAAAUCAUCCACAAUGACAUUUAAAUAGAUUUUUUUUAAUCAAAUGCAACUGAUUGCAUUACUCUGUGGAUGAAGAUGACUCGCUCGCCACUAAAUCUUGUACAUCUGGGGGUACAUUGUCUGUGUUUAACACUUCAUACAGAUUCAUGGUACAUCCCAUACUUGCUAGUACAUGAGCUACUCUAUUACAGUUCCUGCUAGCAAAACUGAAACUAAACUGAUCAAAAUUUUGCUUCAGGAACACUUUCAGCUCUGCUACCCUAUAUAUCACUGAUCGGUCUCGCUCAUUUUGCUCUACACCUUGUUUUAGUGACAUGGAGUCAGUUUCGAAGCAAAUAAAAGUGAUUCCUUUAGACGCAGCUAGCUGGGCACCAUUAGUAGCGGCCAAUAUUUCAGCAUGUAGAAGAUUAAUUAAAUUCUCAAGCCUUCUUGCUCCACACGCCUGAACAACUCCCUUAUGAUCCCGGAUAACAGCACCCCAUCCACCACUAUUUGUUUGAGGAUGAAAGCCGCCAUCAAUGUUCGUCUUCAUCGCUCCAUGCUGAGGCGGUUUCCACCGAUCUUGACAUGUUUUCUUGAGCUCCUUUUCCUUCAUAAAAGCUUGGCAAUAUUCAUUAGUCUGCAUAAUUAACAGUGUAAUAUAUCAUCAUUACUUCGUACUUUACCUUCUUCUCUAAUAUUAUUCCUUUCAUUCCACCAGUGCCACGGAAGUACUAUCACCUUGAUUUUUUCUUCUUCUUCUAGCUUGAGGACUUCAUUUAGAUAAAUCCAAUUUAUCUUAUGUAUUCUUCUUUCUUUUUCUAUUUAAGAAAAUUACUUAUAUUCUAGAUAAACAUUUUGGACAAACCAACUAGAUUUUUUUGUUAAUGUAAUUUUAAAUUUAAAAAUAUAGACAAAACCAAAUAUAGUGCAGAGUGAGUUUACGUUUUUUUUUUUGGACAAAUCAACUAAAUUUUUGUUUGUAUUCAAAUAAUUAAAAAAUAAAAAUAUGGAUAAAAGUUAAUAUGCACAAUGAAUAUACACAUUUUUUGGGGACAAAUAAAAAAAUGUUUGAAUUCGAAUAAUUUGAAAUUUGAAAAUCUAGAGAAAAGGAAAUAUGGCCCAGAAUGAAUGUAAGUAUUUUUUCGGAAAAAACAACUAAUUUUUGUUUGAAUUUGAAUAAAAAAUCAGUGGACAUUUUGUUUGAAUUCGAAUAAUUAAAAAAUGGAAAUCUAUAUAAGAAAAUAUAGGUCCGAAUGAAUUUAUGUAACUUUCCAGAAAAAUUUAAUAUUUUUUUAUUUGAAUUCGAAUAAUUUUAAAUUAAAAAUCUAUAUAAAAGAAAAUUUGUGCAGAAUGAGUGUACGUAAUUUUCUUUCGAACAAAUCGGGGGAAAUUUUGUUUGAAUCUGAAUAAUUUUAAAUUCCAAAAUCUAGAGAAAAGAAUAUAUAUUCAGAAUGCGUACUUUUAUCCAAGAGGUGAUACACCUUAAUAGUCCAAAAGCAAGCACGAUCAGUUGCGGUAGUUAGGUUGCUAGCGCCAUUACAACUGGUCACUUGUUCAAACUCGCUCCGUCCCAUUUUUUCCAGCCCAAUAUUUACAACGUACACUGAUGGGUGGGACCCAGUGAGCAACUAUUGUUGGAGUGCUUUUGUACAAAGUAAAAAAAUAAGGGUGUUUCUGCAGAAAAAACAUCAUGUGCACUAGCCAAUGACAAGGGGCCCUGGCGCCACUGGCAUGCCACAUAGGCGGCGAAUACACACAUCGUACAGGAAAUGUGACCGCAUUUGCACGCCCGUGUAAAUUUGAUGACCAAAAAUAUGUAUUUUAUAAAUUUAUGCAUCAAACUGAUCGUCACGUGCAAGUUAUGAGACUUGCGGUGUAUUUACCUCUUUCUAUGAUACCGUUGGUGCUUCGUCGCAGAAAAUGAUACGGUUGGUACGGUUGCCCUACCUCGACAACUCACCUGUGGACCGAUGCUGAGCAGCUGCACAUGGCGGCCACAUGGUCCAAUCAUUCCACCCUUUGGAUCGCUCACCCAAUUAACAACCUGGUGUCUCCAAAUAAACCAUGCAAGUACAUGUACUACCACACAAAAAAUGAGAAAAAUCCUCAAGACUGUUCUUCAGAAAACAGAAGGCCUAUUUGGUUUCCAAAUUGCAUUGCUCGAAGAUCUUGAUACAUUUUUCACCUCUUACAAAACAAAAACCACCAGCUCGGAGCUUGGAUAGUUGGAAGUUUUGCCGGUAACAGAUGCGGAGCGUGCAUCAAAUCGAUCUUCGUAUGGCAAAUUGGACGUUGAACAGAGUUAAUUUGUUAUCGUUUCUUUUGUAUACGGUGGUUUUAUUAGCACGAAUUUUUCGGACGAAAGACCUGGUGACGGGAAAUGCAAAGAUUCAUCAUCUCAAUGGCAUGCAUCAGAACAGUCAAGACUUGACGUUUAAGCUGGGAAGAAAGAAUCAAAUAAAUGGUCUCAUUCAUAGCAAGAACAAGAGAGUAAGUACAUGAUCACCAACACAAAGAAUGGCACGCCGGCGCACGUACUGGACACCUCCCACACCACCGCGACCCAUACAUACACACACGCACGCGCCCAGACCUCACACCCCAACAAGAACACACGCACACACACCAAGACGACGAGCAAACCAAGCCGGACAGACGGAGAAGGGUCAUCUCAUCUCAUCACACGCCACCGGGACGGAUCUAGCAGAAGAGGUAGCCGAAGGCGGCGGCGGCGAAGGAGGCCGCGGCGAGGGGCACGGCGGCCGCGGCGUCGGAGGCGGGCGCCGGGGCCGGGGCCUCGGCGGCGGCCGCGGAGGCGACGAGCGCGGCGGCCAUGGCGGCGACGGCGACGAACUUCAUCCUGAGACCGGCCAUUGGCGACUUGACUUGGUUCCUGGUGCUGGGAGAGGAGGCCGGAGGGGGUCUCGCUGCUGCUUAUUCGGCUGUGAGAUCUCUCUAGGGGGGAGCUAGAGAGAUGCUGCACGCGGAUGAGCGAGAGGCUUGAGAGUGGCGGCUUGGGAG